rfam:Tetranychus urticae London genomic scaffold, scaffold_27
GGUUCUUUAUGAUGACUGGUGUGUAAAGCCUCUAUGGAAGCGCACUAGUUUGAUGCUCGAUUU